rnacentral:rRNA from 1 species
AUUGAACGCUGGCGGCAUGCUUUACACAUGCAAGUCGAACGGUAACAGGUUAAGCUGACGAGUGGCGAACGGGUGAGUAAUGCAUCGGAACGUGCCCGGUCGGGGGGGAUAACGCAGCGAAAGCUGCGCUAAUACCGCAUACGAUCUGAGGAUGAAAGCGGGGGACCGUAAGGCCUCGCGCGAUCGGAGCGGCCGAUGUCAGAUUAGGUAGUUGGUGAGGUAAAGGCUCACCAAGCCAACGAUCUGUAGCUGGUCUGAGAGGACGACCAGCCACACUGGGACUGAGACACGGCCCAGACUCCUACGGGAGGCAGCAGUGGGGAAUUUUGGACAAUGGGCGAAAGCCUGAUCCAGCAAUGCCGCGUGCAGGAAGAAGGCCUUCGGGCUGUAAACUGCUUUUGUACGGAGCGAAAAGGCUCUCUCUAAUACAGGGGGCUCAUGACGGUACCGUAAGAAUAAGCACCGGCUAACUACGUGCCAGCAGCCGCCGCAG